rnacentral:rRNA from 1 species
CGGCAGGCUUAACACAUGCAAGUCGAACGGUAACAUAAAGGAGCUUGCUUCUUUGAUGACGAGUGGCGGACGGGUGAGUAAUGCUUGGGAAUCUAGCUUAUGGAGGGGGAUAACUACGGGAAACUGUAGCUAAUACCGCGUAGUAUCGGGAGAUGAAAGUGUGGGACCUUCGGGCCACAUGCCAUAGGAUGAGCCCAAGUGGGAUUAGGUAGUUGGUGAGGUAAAGGCUCACCAAGCCGACGAUCUCUAGCUGGUCUGAGAGGAUGACCAGCCACACUGGGACUGAGACACGGCCCAGACUCCUACGGGAGGCAGCAGUGGGGAAUAUUGCGCAAUGGGGGCAACCCUGACGCAGCCAUGCCGCGUGAAUGAAGAAGGCCUUCGGGUUGUAAAGUUCUUUCGGUAGCGAGGAAGGCAUUUAGUUUAAUAGACUAGGUGAUUGACGUUAACUACAGAAGA